CACAAAUCCAUUCGUCUACGGCGACUGCCCCUUCUCCUACUUCCUCAAGCAAACUAUGGCUCAUAGGAAAUUUUAUUUUUCUCAUUUUGUUGCUGUACUUAAAUCUCAUUCGAAAAGACAUUUCCUCAGUUCUAAAGUUUGGUAUUUAAUAUAAUUUUUACACACGCACAAAAAUGGAAGAGUGAAUCUCGACCACAAACUGAUAAGGAUGUGUGCUCAAUAUAGUUAUGUUAAAAUAUGUUGUAUAUAAAUACGCAUUAUUGUUCAGAUAAACAAGGUUGUAAGUAUUAUCUGUGUCUCUGGGUAAAAUUAUAUCAACAACGUCAACAACAGAAUAUAUGUUCACCAUUCAAAUUCACUUUCAUUUGACAUAGUGUGGCUUCGUAUAUUUAAUAUGAAUAUUGAAAGCUUUUACGUUAACUGAAAGCUGAACGAAGAGAGCGCCAACCAACCAUUAUUUGUGAGUAAAAGCCCGACAUCGGCAAACACGCCCAAAGUUUCUUCAUUCUUGAAUAGGCAUUGAAAACAAGAAAAUAAUCACACAAGGCCAAUAUUGAGUUGAGAGGCAGAGCAACUGAGGGCAGAAAAUUCAACUUUAAAAGCUUGCAAGAUGUACAUACAUCUUGUCUUACGUAAAUAAAGUCGAAUAAAAAGGCGCAGUAAAAGUUGAGAGAAUGAAAGUUGUAUGCUUUCAAAGCGGGAAAGUAAAAGGAGAGCAAUCGGCCGCGCUAGUGCGCAAAACUGUUAUAAACGAAAUGACCAAUAGGACGACUUUUAAUACUCCUAGCAGUAUUCGCUCUCACACAAACUGGCGAGCUGCAAUGGCUAUUAAAACCACAAUUUUUCAAGGUAUAUGUAAAUAGUAGACCCAUUUUACUCUCAAGCUCCGAAUCACUUACGAAAUUCUGCUGUUAUUACGAAAGAACAAUAGCUUACACGAAGCACACAACAUGCACAAGUACGGGUAACACAAAGGGGUCCAAGACAACGAAUUAAACCGAACAGAAAACGACGAGUUAAUACACGAAAUUUAAAGAGUGCUGGUUUGAGCGAUGCCGGAUGCAAGGAUGUUCCGUCGCUGGAUGGAGAGCGCAGAACCUAACGCACACGAAUGCUAGGCACCACGGAGCAAUUGCUUGGAUAGAUGUGGUGAAAAUCAGUCAUAACGAGAACGUCGUCGGGUGCUGUGGACGUUUAGAGCAGAAGCCAAAAAUCGGUUUAGCAGUUCGCGCGCUGUGAAAAAUCUAAUUUCUUACACCCACAUAACAACAUAAAAUUCCUGUGAAAUGUAAAUCUGUAAUAAUUUGUUGUAAGUGCAGGGUGUGCAAAAUUAAAAGAAUAUGUAAUGGAAAAUGGAAAUAAUGUGUGCAUGUGUGCAAUAAAAACGGAAUGGUGUUAGUGUAUUGGUGAUGCAAGCAAAGUGCGCGAGCAAAUAGCAAAAUGAUUAAGAAAUAGUAGUGAAAGAAAGACUAAAUAUCAAAACAGGAGCUGACAGAUGAGAAUAUUUAAGAGCAGUAUUAACCAAAAUGCAUCAAUGCCUAGUAAAAUAACCAAUAUUAAUAACAGAAAUAGUAUGCAAAAUUGCAGCAACAAUUUGACUUAUAACUGGACAAAAAUUCCAAAAGAAAACGCACAAUAAAGAAAUAGACCAACAAAAUUUCGCGAACAGCAGCAGGAAGGGCAGCAACGUCCCCAGCUGCAAUCGCAAUAUCUAAAGACGCGUAUGUAUGUGUGUACGUCAACUGAGCAAAACAAUUUUUUGAAAUUAGAUAUUGCGAAGCAAAUCGCCGAAAAUCACUUACAUAUGUACAUUUGAUUAAAAAGCGAACGCAGCAAUGAUGGGGGCGGAUUGAUGGAUGAAAACAAAUCAACGAUGGAGGGGCAAAAGUGUAACAGCAACACUAAUAGCCAUAAAAAUAACAGCGAUAACUGUUAUAAAAAAGGAACAAAAAAUUAAAAAAAUACGCAUACCAAAACAAAAACAAAAUUUGAAGAAAAUAUAAAAGUAAAUUUUAGCGGAAGGGGGUGUAAAAAAUAACACUAACAGCAACAACUGUUGGUACUCUGACAGCGCCGCAUGGGAGCUGGCAGUAAGCAGCAGCGUAAGCAGUUCAACUUAGUAAAAUGUAAUACGAACACGAAUUAAAGAAGAACAACAAAAAUAUAAAAUAGCUGCAGAAAAAUUACAGCUUCACUAUAUCCAUGUGUGUGUGUGCAGAUCAGUAAUGUGAAAACUACAUUGACGGCGAAAAAGUAUAAAAAUAUGUACAAAGUGUGGCAUAGAUUCAAGUUAAAUAAUCAAAAAUUUAUCAAAUUAUCAAAUAGUUAGUGCAAAAUGUUGGAGGAAAAAUAUAAAGUGAAUAUAUAAAACUAAAUAAACCUAGCUUAGACGCCCUAUGCUCUAAUCGAUGUUAAAGGAAAAAUCAAAAAAUAAUAAUUUAGUGAAUAAAAUAAAGCUAAGCCAAAUAUUUGCAAUACUUGUCCAUUUAAGGUGCAUGAAAACAGUGUUUACAAGUCCCUUAGCGUUGUUUUAUGUUUGGAAAAAUAUUACAGUUAUAAAAUAGAAUAUAAAAAUAUAGGGAAAUCUUCGUUAUUCUUCGUGUCUAUUACAUGUUGCAGCAUUCGAGUUAAUUAAUUACGAGUAUCAAAUUCGUGUAUCGGGAUAUUAAACUACCAACAAUAUUCAGAGAUAUGUAUAUAAGUAUAAUUCGCCGACGUCGAUAAUCAUAGAGUAUUAAUACAUAUUUAUAAAAAAUUAGCAAAAAUAUCUAACUAAUAAAAAUCGUAGAAAAUGUGAAACAGCUUUACAUACUAAAGAUCCACGCGCGUGCAAGUAUAUGAAUGCUCGCGGAAGGGUAUUAUUCAUACAUUGAGUAUAAUUUUGAUUUAAAAAUACGAUAAUAUUUGGCAAAAAAUAUGGUGCUAGCAUAUGUGAGAUUCUAAGUAUAUCUCAGUAUCAAGCCAAACAAAAAAUCAGUACAUUGCACAGUGAAUUGCGGUGAAGUGAGAAUGGAAAUUCAAAGCAAAAAAAUUUAAUUAAAAUUUAUUAGUUACAUAAAUUCAAGGUACUGAAGGUGCUAAUACAAGUGUAGCUCAAAUUUUAAUAUUAACAAAAAAAGAACAAUAGAAAUAAAAAAAAUUCCCUAUAGAAUUUGUGAAUUAACUUGAAAAAAAAAUCAAUUUUGGUUUUCGGAAUGAUUUUAAUUUAGAUUACUUAUACUGCAGUGUAUUCCAAUGUACGCGCACUCUUUUCGAGCGAGCGCGUCCACGUCGCCGAAAUUGUAGGUAAAAGGCUUACGGCGCAUUUGCGACCAUUCCUAACAAUAUCACAUAAUCGCGGCGGUACGAUUGGCCGACUGUUGGACAAUGGUCGGCGACGUUGCACAGCUUCGUUCAAACACAGUUUUAGGUUAACACUAGUGGCAUUAAGUGGUUAAUGAGCAUUAAGCAAUUAAUAUUAUAAAAAUUAAAAUGU